rnacentral:rRNA from 1 species
GACGAACGCUGGCGGCGUGCUUAACACAUGCAAGUCGAACGGAAAGGCCCUGCUUUUGUGGGGUGCUCGAGUGGCGAACGGGUGAGUAACACGUGAGUAACCUGCCCUUGACUUUGGGAUAACUUCAGGAAACUGGGGCUAAUACCGGAUAGGAGCUCCUGCUGCAUGGUGGGGGUUGGAAAGUUUCGGCGGUUGGGGAUGGACUCGCGGCUUAUCAGCUUGUUGGUGGGGUAGUGGCUUACCAAGGCUUUGACGGGUAGCCGGCCUGAGAGGGUGACCGGCCACAUUGGGACUGAAAUGCGGCCCAGACUCCUACGGGAGGCAGCAGUGGGGAAGAGUGCACAAUGGGCGGAAGCCUGAUGCAGCAACGCCGCGUGCGGGAUGACGGCCUUCGGGUUGUAAACCGCUUUCGCCUGUGACGAAGCGUGAGUGACGGUAAUGGGUAAAGAAGCACCGGCUAACUACGUG